rnacentral:rRNA from 1 species
CCGUACCGCAAACCGACACAGGUAGUCAAGAUGAGAAUUCUAAGGUGAGCGAGCGAACUCUCGUUAAGGAACUCGGCAAAAUGACCCCGUAACUUCGGGAGAAGGGGUGCUCUUUAGGGUUAACGCCCAGAAGAGCCGCAGUGAAUAGGCCCAAGCGACUGUUUAUCAAAAACACAGGUCUCUGCUAAACCGUAAGGUGAUGUAUAGGGGCUGACGCCUGCCCGGUGCUGGAAGGUUAAGAGGAGUGGUUAGCUUCUGCGAAGCUACGAAUCGAAGCCCCAGUAAACGGCGGCCGUAACUAUAACGGUCCUAAGGUAGCGAAAUUCCUUGUCGGGUAAGUUCCGACCCGCACGAAAGGCGUAACGAUUUGGGCACUGUCUCAACGAGAGACUCGGUGAAAUCAUAGUACCUGUGAAGAUGCAGGUUACCCGCGACAGGACGGAAAGACCCCGUGGAGCUUUACUGUAGCCUGAUAUUGAAAUUCGGCACAGCUUGUACAGGAUAGGUAGGAGCCUUUGAAACGUGA